rnacentral:rRNA from 1 species
GACGAACGCUGGCGGCGUGCUUAACACAUGCAAGUCGAACGGAAAGGCCCUGCUUUUGUGGGGUGCUCGAGUGGCGAACGGGUGAGUAACACGUGAGUAACCUGCCCUUGACUUUGGGAUAACUUCAGGAAACUGGGGCUAAUACCGGAUAGGAGCUCCUGCUGCAUGGUGGGGGUUGGAAAGUUUCGGCGGUUGGGGAUGGACUCGCGGCUUAUCAGCUUGUUGGUGGGGUAGUUGCUUACCAAGGCUUUGACGGGUAGCCGGCCUGAGAGGGUGACCGGCCACAUUGGGACUGAGAUACGGACCAGAGUCCAACGGGAGGCAGCAGUGGGGAAUAUUGCACAAUGGGCGGAAGCCUGAUGCAGCAACGCCGCGUGCGGGAUGAAGGCCUUCGGGUUGUAAACCGCUUUCGCCUGUGACGAAGCGUGAGUGACGGUAAUGGGUAAAGAAGCACCGGCUAACUACGUG